rnacentral:rRNA from 1 species
CAUGCAGUCGAGGGGCAGCAUAAUGGUAGUAAUACUAUUGAUGGCGACCGGCGGACGGGUGCGUAACGCGUAUGCAACCUACCCUUUACAGGGGGAUAACACUGAGAAAUCGGUACUAAUACCCCAUAAUAUUCUGGGAGGCAUCUUUCGGAGUUGAAAGCUUUGGUGGUAAAGGAUGGGCAUGCGUUGUAUUAGCUAGUUGGUAAGGUAACGGCUUACCAAGGCGACGAUACAUAGGGGGACUGAGAGGUUAACCCCCCACAUUGGUACUGAGACACGGACCAAACUCCUACGGGAGGCAGCAGUGAGGAAUAUUGGUCAAUGGACGGAAGUCUGAACCAGCCAUGCCGCGUGCAGGAAGACGGCUCUAUGAGUUGUAAACUGCUUUUGUACGAGGGUAAACGCAGAUACGUGUAUCUGCCUGAAAGUAUCGUACGAAUAAGGAUCGGCUAACUCCGUGCCAGCAGCCGCGGUAAUACGGAGGAUCCAAGCGUUAUCCGGAUUUAUUGGGUUUAAAGGGUGCGUAGGCGGUUUAGUAAGUCAGCGGUGAAAUUUUGGUGCUUAACACCAAACGUGCCGUUGAUACUGCUGGGCUAGAGAGUAGUUGCGGUAGGCGGAAUGUAUGGUGUAGCGGUGAAAUGCUUAGAGAUCAUACAGAACACCGAUUGCGAAGGCAGCUUACCAAACUAUAUCUGACGUUGAGGCACGAAAGCGUGGGGAGCAAACAGGAUUAGAUACCCUGGUAGUCCACGCAGUAAACGAUGAUAGCUCGUUGUCGGCGAUACACAGUCGGUGACUAAGAGAAAUCGAUAAGCUAUCCACCUGGGGAGUACGUUCGCAAGAAUGAAACUCAAAGGAAUUGACGGGGGCCCGCACAAGCGGAGGAACAUGUGGUUUAAUU